GAGCCAUGUGUACCCAAAUUGUUCUGUGUUGCUGAGGUCAAGUUUGGUGUGUGAGGUGUGUGUCAGCCUUGCUCAUGAAGCCUUGUGUGUUCUCUGCUUUGGCUGCAGCCCCACUACUUACGUUUUGGAUGAAGAUGAACCUCGGUUCCUUGAAGAAGUUGAUUACAGUGCAGAAAGCAAUGACGAGUUAGAGGUUGAAUUAGCGGAGAAUACAGGCGAUUAUGAGCCUUCUGCCCAAGACGAAGCCCUUUCCGACUCUGAGGUAUCAAGAACACACCCUAUUUGAACUUUCUUCCACCUUUGUUAAUUGCCAAGAAGAAAUGAAAUGUCUUGGUUUUCGUUGCACAGGAAGUAUGAGAGGGACAAGCAUUCAGACAGCUGACUCAAGACGAAAAGGACCUUGGGCCUGUUUGGUUUCAAGACAAUAAAUAUAUUAUUAAUUG
rnacentral:lncRNA from 1 species